UCGAGGAUCUUCGUCAAUGGGCGCAAGCCUGAACGAGCGACGCCGCGUGCGCGAUGAAGGCCUUCGGGUUGUAAAGCGCGAAAGUGGAGAGAAAGCGAAACUUGAUCAAUCCACAGUAAGGACGGGCUAAGUUCGUGCCAGCAGCCGCGGUAAGACGAACUGUCCUAACGUUGUUCGGAAUCACUGGGCUUAAAGGGCGCGUAGGCGGUCCAUCAAGUCAGGGGUGAAAUCCUGCAGCUUAACUGUAGAAGUGCCUUUGAUACUGAUGGUCUGGAGGGAGAUAGGGGUGUGUGGAACUUCCAGUGGAGCGGUGAAAUGCGUUGAUAUUGGAAGGAACGCCGGAGGCGAAAGCGACGCACUGGACCUCUUCUGACGCUGAGGCGCGAAAGCCAGGGGAGCAAACGGGAUUAGAUACCCCUGUAGUCC
rnacentral:rRNA from 1 species